rnacentral:lncRNA from 1 species
GAAAGAACAGGUACCUUCACAACCUGGAAAUUUUGAAAAACUGAAUGAACUAAAAGUCCUGCUUUUCCCACCAAAGGUCUGUUGAAGAGGCUCAGCUGGGGAAUGAAAGAUAAGGACAAAGAACAUUUGGACUCAGCGAAAGCUUAUUGAGGCUGUGCUGCACUUUUUUGAAGAGAGUUAUUGGCAUGAUUUUCUGAGAACAAGAGGAAAAUGGAAAACAUUUUAGCAAGUUAAGGGAAAAAAAAUCAACAGUAUCAUUGUUUGCCGCUUUUGUUGAAACUACCUACACAAGUCAUUUGAGGGACAUGAAGAUGGAUAAAGUAUUAGACAUGACAGAAGGUGCAGUUGUGAGGGAAAUCAUAAAUCUUGGGUCUUUUCUGAGAUCUAUUUCUCUGGAGUGA